rnacentral:rRNA from 1 species
AUGGAGGAGGGACACAUGGAACAUAAUUUACUGGAGAGUAUUCUUGACGGAAGCAUGCAACCAGAGCAUCUACCGUUUGACCUUCUACAGAAGAUCACAGAUAAUUUCUCUAAAGUGCGAAGAAUUGGUGAUGGUGGGUUCGCGGUGGUCUACAAGGGUGUCCUCCAAAAUGAAAAGGAAGUUGCUGUGAAGAGGAUUAACAGCAGCAAGACAAUCGAUGAGACGCUAUUUUGUCGGGAGGUCACUAACCUGCUGGGUGUCAACCAUGAGAAUGUUGUCCGGUUUCUUGGCUACUGUUUCAACACAGUGCGGGAACAUCAGAAAUAUGAGGGAGAGGACAUUUACCCUGAUAAGAGAGAAAUGCUAUUAUGCUUCGAGUACGUGGACAAUGGAAGCCUUGAUAACUAUAUUACAGAUGAAUUACGAGGACUUGAAUGGAAUGACCGAUACAAUAUAAUCAAAGGAAUAUGCAAUGGUUUGGAGUAUCUUCAGGUGAAAAGGAAAAUCGUUCAUAUGGACUUGAAACCAGCGAAUGUACUGUUAGAUAAUGAUAUGACGGCCAAGAUUACAGAUUUUGGGUUAUCAAGAAAGAUAGAAAAUUUACAAACCAAAUGUACAAACCACUUCUUUACACGGGGCUACUGCGCACCAGAAUACAUACUAGGCAAAAAAAUAACAAUCAAGUGCGAUGUGUACAGCCUCGGUGUUAUAAUACUUGAAUUGUUGACAGGACAUAGGAAUAUUCGCAAUAAUAAGGAUAAUGUACUUAGAAGAUGGAGGCACAGACAGAAUAAAUCAGGGCAAGCAACACCAUUCAGAUACCAACAAGUAGCUAAACUCAUCGAUAUUGGGUUACUUUGCACGGAAAUUGACCCUUGUAAGAGGCCUUCUAUAUCAGAAAUAAUCCAUGAUAUCAAUGAAUUAGAAAGAACAGAUAUGCAAAUAAGCAAUGCCAACGAACCUACCAAUGAGCAGAUAUGCCCCUAUGAAGAGGAUGACAUGCUUGGGAUCGAGCCACUAGAGUUAUGUUUUCCUUUUAAGUUGAACAAGGAGACGUCAUGCCCACUUCAGCUUAGCAACCAGACAAAUGCUUAUUUUGCUUUCUAUAUCAGAACGACGAGCCCCAACGGAACGCCGUCAUACUCUAUAGAACCAACCAAAGGCAUCGUGUCACCAGAAUCCAUGCAUAUAGUCAACAUAACAUUGCAACCACUGUACAAGGCAUCAGAAUAUAAGCAACAAACUAGUGAUUUUGUCGUCUGGAGCACCAAAGUGAAUGGUAGUCUUAUAUCUGAAGCAAUAACGGAAGAUAUGUUCAGCGAACAGGAGGGUAAAGUGGUUGAUGAGGUGAAUGUGACGGUUGUGCUAGCAGAGGCAAAAUCCAAGAUAAAUCCCUCUGCCUCAAAUGAGCUGAUCCAAUUUGAUCCCCCUGAACUACACUUCCCCUUGGUGCCAGAUAAGAUGGUCUUGUCCUCAGUUAAGAUAGUCAACGACACAGACUUCAAUGUUGGUUUCCACUUGUUUUAUGUAAACAUCACCGCAAAAUACAACGCAAAUCCAUCCAUAGCAAUCCUCCCACCACGGUCCUCACAACGUCUCAUGGUGACAAGGGAAGAAAGCGAAGAGACACUAAAACACAGGCAGUCCAUUGAACAGGUCUUUGUGUGGAGUGGCAUUGUGACUAAAGAUGACAUACAAAUAGGCCCUACGUUCCCGAAAGUGGAGGACAGCAAGGAGUUGCCCAUGGUCCUUACAGAGAUAACCCAAUGUACUUCAAACGAGCUAAUCCAGCUUGAUCCACCUGAGCUCAGCUUCCCGUUUUUGCCAAACAGGCUGUUAAUAUCCUCAGUUGAGAUAGUCAACAUUACAGAUUUUAAUGUUGGUUUCACUGUAUGCACGUCAGAGGAUAUUGCUUGGAUGUACACCGUAGAUCCAAAUGUAGGAAUUGUGCCACCACGGUCUACUCAAAGAGUGGUUAUAAAAAGGGUACUCACGGAAAAGGAUCUACUAGAUGUAUAUUUUCAAAAAGGUGGGAGGCCGCCCGGCCUAAUAGAUGGCAUGUCAUAUGGCCAAGGAAAGUUCUUUGUUCAUAACAUGAUUGUGGAUGAAGGUGUUGAGGCUGAAUACCUCAUGAAUUACAAGCCUAGUACAAACAUCGAGUUGCCCGUUGUUUUUAAGAAGGGAGAGAACUAUGCUUAUCCUCCCGUAACAAAUUCGCCCUACCACGAUUUGUGUAAGGUGCAGCUGAUUCGAUUCAAUCCUCCUCGGCUCAGCUUCCCCUUUUUGCCAAACAAGACUCUGCUCUCCUCUGUUAAUAUGGUCAACAAUACAGAUUACUCUGUCGGUUUCCACAGUUGUGCAUGGAAUGCAAAGGCGAGAUAUUACACAGAACCGAGGUAUGGAAUUUUACCACCACGAUCUACUCAGAAACUCGUAGUGAAAAGGGUACCAACCGAAAAUGACCCACAGGGCAUGAAAUGUAAAGACAAUUACAUUUUGUGGAAUGCUAUUGUGACUGAACAUGUCGAGGCCAACGACCUCAUCAGUUGUAUACCAUGGAGCAAAGGGGGUACAGACUUACCCAUUGAAGAUAUCUAUGAUGAUGCUGUGGAGCAAGACAAGGGCACAUGGUGGCCCGGUUUCAUGCUCUUUCCUAGAUUUGGGAUGAAGUUUGAGCAUAGACAGUUGCCCAUUGUUCUCAGGAAGAUAAGUCCAUCUAUGGGAAAUGAAGUGAUUGAGGUUGAGCCCCCGGAGUUGUGCUUCCCCUUCUUACCGAACGGGACUCGAAAGACUUCAAUAAAUAUAGUUAACAUUAGUAAUUACUUGGUUGGUUUCAACACAUUUGAGAAUAAAGCAAAUGUGGCGCGGUACAACACAGAGCCACCAUGUGGAAUCGUGCCACCAAACUCCACACUAGAACUCGUGGUAACAAGGGUAGCAAAGGAAGAUGCAGAGGCACUGGAAGACAUGAUGCACUGCAGAGACAAGUAUUUUUUAUGGAGCAGCUUUGUGACUCGAGAUGUUGAUGCCAUCGACCUCAACCGAUGCACAUCCGAGAGAGAGAGUAAAGAGUUACCCAUAUUUUUCGCAAAGGAAAGCUCGAGCGAGUUGAUCCGGUUGGAUCCUCCCGAGCUUUACCUUCCCUCGUUGUCAAACAGGAGUGUGCUGUCCUCAGUUAAUAUAGUCAACGUUACAGACCACUCCAUCAGUUUCAGUAUAUGCACUACCAAGAGCAAUUCAGCGAGCUACUGCACAGAUCUAUUGAAAGGAAUCCUGUCACCAAAGUCCACGCAAGUACUCAUGGUGACCAGGGUAGCAAUGAAAAAGAAACCACGAGACAGAAAGCUUGAAGAUAAGUGCUUGUUGUAUAGCAGGAUUGUGCCAGAAGGUGUACAAGGCGGUGGCAUCAGUGACCACAUUGUUGAACGAGAGACCAAGGUGUUGCCAAUUGUUCUUACCAAGACAAAAAGGCUAGGUACCACAGAAGAGCUGAUACGAUUUGACCCGCCUGAGCUCAGCUUCCCAUUCCUGCCAAACAAGACGGUGGUGUCCUCAGUUACUAUAAUCAACAAUACCAAUUUAAAUAUUGGUUUCUGUGUAAGGGACUCACAUGAAAAUGCAGGGAUGUACAAAGUAGAUCCAGAUCCACGAAUUCUGCCACCCCGGUCCAGUCAUAGAAUUCUUGUAAAAAGGGUACCCACGGAAGAACACAUACAGUGCCAAGGCAUGUUAUUUGUAUGGAACAUGAUUGUGGUUGAAGGUGUCGAAGCUGAAAAUUUGGUCAAUUAUUUGGGUGUUGGAAACACUAAAAAGUUGCCGAUUCUUCUUACAAAGACAAUCCAAUGUACUUCGAAUGAGCUGAUCCAGUUUGACCCUCCUCAGCUCUGUUUCCCCUUCAUGCCAAACAAGACCCUGCUAUCCUCUGUUAAUAUUGUCAACAUUACAUAUCACUCCAUCGUUUUCUGCAACUAUGUUUGGAAUGCAGAGGCGAGGUACUACACAGAACCGAGGUAUGGUAUCUUGCCACCACAGUCUACUCAGAAACUCGUGGUGAAGAGGGUACCAAUGUAUAAUGAACCACAAGACAUCAAGUGUAAUGACAAGUAUAUUUUGUGGAAUGCCAUUGUGACCAAAGGUGUCGAGGCCAGCGACCUUAAUUUUGCAAUGAACGGUGAACAGGGUACAACGUUGCCCAAUCAUGAUCUCUACGAUCAAACUGUGGAGCAAGCAAAGGGUACAUUGUGGUCGGGUACCAAUCUAUUAUUCUAUGGCUGUGUUGCCCGGCAAAAAGAGAAUGUAGAGUUGCCCAUUGUUCUUACACAGGCCCAACCCAUAUGUGCAACCGGCGGAAGCUCUUGGUGGCCCUACUCUCUCUCCUUUGCAACCGGGAGGCACCAGAACCACCAGAGUGAGCUGGUUAAGAUUGAGCCCCCCAUACUCUGCUUCCCCUUCCUACCAAGCGAGGAUCAGAGGUCCUCAAUAAAGAUAGUUAACAUUACAGAUCACUUCGUCGGUUUUAACAUGUUUGAGAAGAAAACAAAUGUGGCAUUGUACAAUACGAAUCCACUGUGUGGAAUCCUGCCUCCUAGGUCCACACAAGAACUCGUGGUAACAAGGGUAGCAAAGGAAGUAGAGUCAUUGAAAGACAAGAUGCAUAGCAAAGACAAGUACUUUUUCUGGAGCAGUUUUGUGACUCAAGAUGUUGAUGCCUUCCAUCUCAAAGGAUGCACAUCUGAGAAUGAGAGUAAAGAUUUACCCAUAGUUUUCACCGAGACUAGCUCAAACGACUUGAUCAAGUUUGACCCCGCCGAGCUUUAUCUCCCAAUGUUUUCAAACAAGAGUGUGCUGUCCUCGGUUAGUAUCAUCAACGUUACAGACCACUACAUCAGUUACAAUACAUGUGCCAAUAGCAAUUCAGCAAGGUAUUACACAGAUCCAUCAGAAGGAAUCCUAAAACCAAGGUCCACAGAAUUACUCAUGGUGAUUAGGGUACCGGAGGAAAAGGAACAAGAAGACACGAACUCCAAAGACAAGUACUUGGCGUGGUGCAGUGUCGUGAAUGAAGGCCUCGAAGAUAGUGAUGUCGUUAAUAACAUAUUUGCGACAAAGAUUACCGAGUUGCCUAUUGUUCCUACAGAGAUAAGUCCAACUACCUAUGGCGAGUUGAUCGAGUUUCAUCCCGUUGUACUCCGCUUCACCAUCUUGCCAAAUAGGAAAUCAUCGUCCUCAGUUGAUAUAGUUAACACUACAGAAUCCUAUAUAGGUUUCAGUACAUAUAGCUGGUACAAAAAUGUGGCGUGGUACCAUACAGAACCAUCGAGAGGAAUCUUGCCACCAAAAUCAACAAAAAGACUCAUGGUAACAAGGGAGGAAAAGGAAGGUGCACUAGAAGAUAUCAUGUUUAACGACAAGUACUUUGUGCGGACCAGCAUUGUGCCUGAAGGUGUCAAAGGCAGCGACCUUGGUGAAUACAUGGUGAAACAAGAGAGCAAGGAGUUGCCCAUUGUUCUUAAUAAGAUAAGCUUGCCAAUCUCGGACCAGCUAAUCCAGAUUGACCCCCCUCAACUCUGCUUCCCCUUCUUGCCAAACAAGACACUGAUGACCUUCGUUUGUAUACAAAACAUAACAGAUGGCUAUGUUGGUUUCGAUACAUAUAACAUACAAACAGGUAAAGUGGACUAUUACGUAAUGCCACCGUCUGCAAUUCUGCCACCACGGUCCACUCAAAAACUAGUGGUAAUAUGGGUGCCAAAGGAAAAAGAACUGGAAGACAUGCCGUACAAUGACAAGUUUUUUGUGAGGGACCGCAUUGUGACUGAAAGUGUUGAAGCCAGUGACAUUAUUGAUUACCUAUACGACGAUGAGGGUAUAGAGCUGCCCAUGAUACUUAACAAGAUAAGCCCGCCGACACCAAAAGAGCUAAUCCAGUUUCACCCCCCUAAACUGUACUUCCCCUUAUUGCCAAAAGCGGAAGUGAUGUCAUCUGUCUCAGUAGUCAACAUUACAGAUUGCUACGUCGCCGUAAAGGCUUAUACCAUCAAUACAGAUAAAGUGCAGUAUCAGAUGAUACCAGAUACAGAAAUUCUUCCACCCCAGUCAACUAAAAAGCUAUUGGUACUAAGGCAGCGGGCUGAAUCGGAAGUAGCAGACAUGCAGUGCGAUGACAUGUUCUGUGUGUGGAACUGCGUUGUGACUGAAGGUGUUGAAAGCGAUGACAUCACUGAUUACUUAUAUGACGAUGAAUGUACAAAGUUGCCCAUUGUUCUUAACAAGGCAAGCUCCCCAUGUACUUCAGAGGAUCUGAUCCGGUUUGACCCGCCGGAACUCAGGUUCCCCUUUGUGCCAAACAAGACGAUAGUGUCCUCUGUUGAUAUGGUCAACAAUACAGAUUACUCCGUCGCAUUUUUUAAUCAUACCAACGAUGAAAAUGUGGCGUGGUACUAUGCAAAACCACAGAGUGGAAUUAUACCACCAAAAUCAACUCAAAGACUUGUAGUAAAAAGGGUGGUGAAAAAGGAACAAGGGGACAUGCAGAUGGAAGACAAGUUGUUUCUGGGUAGCGUGAUUGUGACUGUAGGUGUUGAAGCGGUUGACCUGACUGAUUUGGAGCUUGAGGAAGAUCCGAGUAUGGUGUUGCCCAUAGUCAUUGAGAAGACACGCCUAUUGUGCAGCUCCGAAGAGUUGAUCCAGUUCAAUCCUCCCCAGCUACGCUUUCUCUUCCAGCCAAACAAUAUGCAGCCCUUGUCGUGCUUCAUUGAAAUAGUCAACGUCACAGAUUACUGCGUCGGUUUCAACGCAUGGUUACACAAGUGCAACUCCGCGAGGUACUCCUUAUAUCCAUGCCGAGGAAUCCUGACACCACGGUCCAGACUAAAAAUCAAGGUAACAAGGUUUAUAUGCAAAAAUGAAUCAGAAGAUUUGCAGUGCAAAGACGUGGUUGGUGUGUGGAAUGGCAUUGUGACUAAAGGUGUCGAAGCUAGCGAUUUCACUUGCUACAAGGCUCCUAAACAGAGUAGGCAGUUGUCCGUUGUUCUUACAAGGCCUGGAGAAAUCAGUUCAUCUAAGGCUUGGCUUGGUCGAUUUAUCGGGAAAGCUUGA